rnacentral:lncRNA from 1 species
GAGGCAACCAGGACUUGAGAGACCAUAAUCCUGCAGAGAAGAAAAUUUCACUCAGAUACUGUGUUUUGUACAAGAUCUCCCACCAGCAAAACAUUAUGACUCACUGAAGGCUCAGAGGAUGGUUAGCAUUUUUUAGCAAUGAAGUAUUUUUUAAUUAAGAUGCGGUUGAGGCUGUUAUUACUGAUGUAGGAACUGGACUGAAAGAAUCAUCAGAAUGUUGUAAGAAUCCAGCCUAGAAAGCACGCGAAACGAACACCGGCCAUCUGAAUUCAGCAAGCUCAUGUAUUUGGAUGCUCAAAAGCAGCAGUCAUCUAUCAAAGGAAGUGUAUUGGACUAAAUGGAGAGAUUUUUAAUAAGAGGCAAGGGGGUGCACUUUCCCUAAUAAAAAGAGCAGAGAG